UUGGAGGGCAAGUCUGGUGCCAGCAGCCGCGGUAAUUCCAGCUCCAAUAGCGUAUAUUAAAGUUGUUGCAGUUAAAAAGCUCGUAGUUGAAUUUCGGGAUCAGAUUGUUGGUCGUGCCUCGGUACGUACUGGCAUUAUUGGUUCCUACCUUCUGAAGAACCGCGAUGUCAUUAAUUUGGUGUCGUGGGGAAUCAGGACUGUUACUUUGAAAAAAUUAGAGUGUUUAAAGCAGGCGCACGCUUGAAUACAUUAGCAUGGAAUAAUGAAAUAGGACGUUUGAUUCUAUUUUGUUGGUUUCUAGGAUCGACGUAAUGAUUAAUAGGGAUAGUUGGGGGCAUUAGUAUUCAAUUGUCAGAGGUGAAAUUCUUGGAUUUAUUGAAGACUAACUACUGCGAAAGCAUUUGCCAAGGAUGUUUUCAUUAAUCAAGAACGAAAGUUAGGGGAUCGAAGACGAUCAGAUACCGUCGUAGUCUUAACCAUAAACUAUGCCGACUAGGGAUCGGAUGAUGUUAAUUUUUUAAUGACUCAUUCGGCGCCUUACGGGAAAC
rnacentral:rRNA from 2 species